rnacentral:rRNA from 1 species
UACGUAGGGUCCGAGCGUUGUCCGGAAUCAUUGGGCGUAAAGCGCGUGUAGGCGGUCCGGUAAGUCCGCUGUGAAAGUCGGGGGCUCGAACCCUCGGAUGCCGGUGGAUACUGUCGGGCUUGAGUACGGAAGAGGCGAGUGGGAAUCCUGGUGUAGCGGUGAAAUGCGCAGAUAUCAGGAGGAACACCAAUUGCGAAGGCAGCUCGCUGGGACGUUACUGACGCUGAGACGCGAAAGCGUGGGAGCAAACAGG